CAAAAACAUAGUUUUAUGAUAUUAUAUAAAAUAUUUUCUGCCCAAUGUAAUUAAUUAAUGGCCGCAGUACCUUGACUGUGCUAAGGUAGCAUAAUCAAUUGGCUUUUAAUUGAAGUCUAGUAUGAAAGGGAUAAUGAAUUUCUGCUGUCUUAAAUGUUUUUAUUAAAAUUUAUUUAUUAGGUGAAAAUACCUAAAAUUUUUAAUAAAGACGAGAAGACCCUAUGAAUUUUUAAAAAAAUUUUUGUUGGGGCGACAGUUUAACAUAAAAUCUUAAAUUUUUUUUUAAAACGAUUAUAUUAAUAAAAAAUAAAUUACCUUAGGGAUAACAGCAUUAUUAUAAAAAUAGUUUGUGACCUCGAUGUUGGACUAGGAACUAAAAGGCUAGCCGUCUUUAUAGAUUUGUUCUGUUCGAACAAUUUAAUCCU
rnacentral:rRNA from 1 species